GUCUGUGUUAUGAUUGAGCCUCAUGGCUCUGCUACUGGCAGACGUGGGCGUAAGACUCCUCGAGAGUCAGAUACUCUCGAGGAGCGAGAAAGAAAGAGGCUGCGAGAUAUCUUUGCAGAACCAUCUGACGAAGAGUCUUUUGAGGGGUUUACAGAGAGAAUGGAGGAAGAGCUGGUUAGCUCAGAAGAGGAUGAGAUGGAUUGGACUCGGGUAAGGGAGGAAUUGGGUGCCACUGGCAAUGAUGGGAUGGAAGAUGAUUGGGGACCUUCAGGACUAGACCCAUGGACAAGCUGGAGGGAUGGGACGGGAUCCACAGCUGGGGAUGCUGUGGGGCGUAGUCAGAGGUGUUCCAGUUCUGAUGAGGAAAGUGAUGAGGAAACGCCCGGGUUAAGGAGAACAGCUGAUAGUGAUGAGGAAUUGUAACUGGCAUAAAAUGGGGCUUGGGAGCAAUAGCAAAUUGCGUUGGGCAAGGUAAUCUGGACAAACGCUUGGGAUCUGUGUGGGACGUUUUCCUGAAGACGGGUGUGUUUCGUGUGCUGAUUACCUUUGACCUUCCGUCGUCUUCUUGACGGACGCCAUCUGCUACUCUGGAUUUACGGACUGAACUGACUACGGGCUCGGAUUCUCCUACUGGACUUGGGAAAACUGCAAACGUCUGCUUCUGCCUAUCGACCUUCGGAAAGAACUGGGACUACUCUACUGCUUCAAUCCUCGGCUGUUGUGUUUGUAUUGGAAAUUUGCCUGCUGUGUGUAGGAGUGACUUCUAAGUUACUCAAAACAUAGUACUGGCAGCAGAGAGGCAUCUGCUGCCAAUUAGUUACAUUCUUUUGAACUCUUUGUUUCCCAGCUUCUGUUUUGUUUGUUCCCAAGCUGAAGCAAGCUGUUUUGAUUUUACCCGGAUUAAACUCCGGUUUAAUCCGGUUUAUCUUUUGAAUGUUUUUCUUGCCCCUUUUUGCUUUUUGAGGCUAAUAUUGCCUAGCCCUUGUCUUUUACGGGCAUUUUGAGUUCUGUAAAUCCAAUAAACUCUGUUAUCUUUGA